UACGUAGGUCCCGAGCGUUGUCCGGAUUUAUUGGGCGUAAAGCGAGCGCAGGCGGCUUCUUAAGUCUGAAGUAAAAGGCAGUGGCUCAACCAUUGUAUGCUUUGGAAACUGGGAGGCUUGAGUGCAGAAGGGGAGAGUGGAAUUCCAUGUGUAGCGGUGAAAUGCGUAGAUAUAUGGAGGAACACCGGUGGCGAAAGCGGCUCUCUGGUCUGUAACUGACGCUGAGGCUCGAAAGCGUGGGUAGCGAACA
rnacentral:rRNA from 1 species